rnacentral:rRNA from 1 species
UUAAAAAGCUCGUAGUUGAAUUUCGGGAUCAAUACGUCGGUCGUGCUUUCGGGUACGUACUGGCGUCAUUGGUUUCUCCUUUCUGACGAACCAUGAUGUCAUUAAUUUGGUGUUAUGGGGAGUUAGGACUGUUACUUUGAAAAAAUUAGAGUGUUUAAAGCAGGCAUUAGCUUGAAUACAUUAGCAUGGAAUAAUGAAAUAGGACGUUCGAUCCUAUUUUGUUGGUUUCUAGGAUCAACGUAAUGAUUAAUAGGGAUAGUUGGGGG